rnacentral:lncRNA from 1 species
CAGAAGAUGACAGCAUAUUUACAGACACUGCAAGAUUAUUAAUAUAAAAAAUAUUUCAAAGCCAGUAAACUUUCAAAAUAAACAAUCCUUAAUUAUUUCUUAUAAACCAGAGAGAAAGCUAAACAGGCCUCUAGCCUCCAACCCAAAGUUACCAGGGAAGCUGAAAAAAUACUGGAAAAAAUGAAGGAACUAGAAACUACAGUAAAUGCAGCCCAAAUAGAAAUUGGAAAGAAAGAAAGAAAUGCCAAAAUAAUUGAAGCUGAAAUUCAAGAAUCAUAUAUACGUCUUCAAACAUUGUCUGAUGCAAAUGCUAGAGAAAAACUGGAAUUAAUGGAACAUAUUUCUGAGUUGAAGAAACUAGCUGACCUCUCCAGCCAGCAUGUUUCAAACAAAAAAGUUGAACUGGAAAAAGUUCAGCAAGAAAUCCAGCAGACUAUAAAUUCGGUGAAGGAAAAAGAUCAUGAUAUCCAUGUUUUAGAAGCUCAGAUUCAGCAGCAGAUACAGCAGCACCGGGAUAUGGAAGGAAAACUUACAGAAAGCAGAUCAGAAUUCAUAAGACUUCAGGCAUUAUUUCAUCAGCUAAAAGAAAAUUUCCUUAUUGGUUCCCAGCCCACUCAACAGUCUAUUGCAAAAAGGCUUUGUGAAGAUACUGAAAAAUUGAGACAAGUCCUCAAAGAAAAAGAGCUUUCAGCUGAUGAAGAUAAAUANUUAUGUAACAAGAUGGUAGAAGACUGUGCACAUCUGACAAGGAAAAAUGGUCUCUUACAUGCUCAGGUGCUGGAAGCCACCAGAGAAUUAAGCAGAGAGAAACAGUUGAGAGAGGAAGAGGGUAACUACCAUUCAAGGAGAGCAUCUGAGCUAGCAUCAGCAAGAGAGAAGGAACGGCAACUUCAGAUGGGACUCACAGACUUGAAGACGCUACUUAAGAAUGAAAGGAAGAAGGUUCUUAAGAUCCAGGAGCAGGUGCUUCAUCUACAGCAAGAAAGGAAGUCUGUGGAUCACAACGGGCAGUUGCUUCGAUCACAACUAAGCAUUUUAACAGAAAGACAUGCUGAAGUUCAAAUGGAAAAUUACAAAUUACAAACAGAGAAAACUCAUCUAGUAGAAUACAUUUCUCACUUACAUAAACAGAUUGCUGUAAAAGAAAAGAAGAUCAAUUUUCUGCACAGUCAUGCUAACAACCUGUCAUGUGAUCUCAACAUCUUGAAAUCUCAGGUCAAUACGGCCUCUAGUUUGCAAGAAGAAAAAUGGAAAGAAUUUUCCAAUAUAUUAACAGCAAAAAGUGCAUAAAGCAGCUCACUUUAGGAACCACCUGUAUCUGGUCUACUUUAAAUCAUGCUAGAACAUUUCCUCAAAUUAAGGAAGCAUUUGGGACUAUUCUGCUGAGCCAAAUUCUUCCAAGGGCACUAUUCAGAAAUAAAUAAAACUUAGUUUUCA